rnacentral:lncRNA from 1 species
GACAACUCGCGGGGAUUGUUUUCCACACCGUGGAAGCUUUGUUCUUUUCGUUUUUUGCAAUAAAUCUUGUUGCUGCUCGCUUUUUGGGUCCACAUUGCUUUUAUGAGCUGUACCACUCACCGUGAAGAUCUGCAGCUUCACUUCAGAGCCUAGCGAGACCACAAGCUCACUGAGAGGAACAAACAACUCCAGACGCGCUGUCUUAAGAGCUAUAACACUCACCGCGAAGGUGUGCAGUUUCACUCCUGAGCUAGUGAGACUACGAAGCCACUGGAACGAAGAAACUCCAACCACGUUUGAACAUCAGAAGGGGCAGACUCCAGACGCUUCAUCUUAAGAGCUGUAACACUCACUGUGAAGGUCUGCAGCUUCACUCCUGAGCCAGCGAGACCACGAACCGAUCUGAACAUCAGAAGGGACAGACUCCAGAUGCCCCACCUUAAGAGCUGUAAUACUCACUGCAAGGGUCUGCAGCUUCAUUCUUGAAGUCAGACCAAGAACCCAGCAAUUCCCAACACACAGGGACCAGCUUCUUUCCUAACUCACUUAGGCUCUUCGUGCUGCUCUGGCAACUAACACCCUUGGCUGCAGGGGCUUGGACACUACCCUUAGUCACUGACAAUUGUGUGAAGGCUGCUGUCGUUAACUUCACUUGAUCACCUUAGGCUCCUGUGAAGUGGUGAGCAAUUCAAACAAAUUCCUGUCGUCAAAUCAUGAGUCCACCUGUCCCGAGUUGGAAGUCUGAACUCAUGUUCCUGGAUUCCUCCCAUGCAUCUUGGUGCUGGUGUGGGGCCUGAACUCAGCCAAUCCGCAACACCUCCAGGAGUCUUCCUCUUAGAUGCUGAGGCCACGGAGAAGGAAGCAGCACAAAGAAUGAACCCUGGAGAGGGUGCCAGAGGCAGGCGGGUUCCAGCCAUGUGGCGGCACAGCCUUACUGGGAUAGUCUAGCUGUGUCACUCAGGAUAUACAUCUUUCCACACCAAUAGACCUUGUUUUCCGAUGUAGCAUUAUUUUUCAUAGUUGGCGAAUAUACAGUUAUGGAUUCAUAACAGCAAGAUGGAGAAAUUGCACUGCAGAGAAAUCUUUAAAAGCAAUUACCUAAUACUGCAGAUUGCUGAACUGUACCCACACCCAAGACUGAGCAUUGGAUCAAUCCAGAAUAUACAUCAGGUGUUCUGCAAUGUCUGCCUAAAACCAUGACUCUGCCUCCUCCAGCUGUUGCUACAUCUCACUAUGGGUUUCCUGUGACAUUUUGAGCAAGUAUGCCUCUGUGACUGGGGUUCUUACACUCCAGAAUGGAUGAGAAGCACCGUAAGUGGCUUUUAAAAUGAAUAUUCCCUGGCCCUUCAGUCGCUCUAUAGGUCAAGAAUCUGAAUUCUCAACCUGUCUAGAAGGUUCUGGUUUUAAUGGUCUGUGGGCUGCACAUUGAGAAACCUGUUCAGCGAGUGCAACAAAGGUUCCACAUGUGAGAAAGGAAGCAUCAGGUCUCUUGAGCCUGUUCUUUAAUCUGUAGGCUGCACCUUCUCUUUAAAUUCUGCUAAUAACACCAUGCGAGAAAACACCCGAGCUUGAAAAGCCCAUGUUCCAACAUAACUGUCCUUCACCACUCUGGAAAAUUAAUGGUUUGUUUCGAUUAUCCCUUUGUUAAACUCCAAAGUCAAAGAGCUCUGAAAGGCAUACGGUUAUUUUAAGUUUCAGGUGAUUUCUGUUGCCAAAUAUUUUAAAAAUUUAAAAUUGCUACGUGACCUCUUAGUAGUACUAUUAGAUUUCCUGACAAUAAAAAUAAGUCUUUUGGUUUCACCAUUUAUAGUUAGUACAGCUAAUAUUAAGUAUAAUUUUAAAAGCCUUUUAUUUUCUCAGAAAGAAAAAAUAAUCAAAAUCUGCUCAGUGUGGUAUUGAAUAAUUAAAAACAAAAGAACAGUAUCUUCACAUUAG